AGAGUUUGAUCCUGGCUCAGGACGAACGCUGGCGGCGUGCUUAACACAUGCAAGUCGAACGGAAAGGCCCUUCGGGGUACUCGAGUGGCGAACGGGUGAGUAACACGUGGGUGAUCUGCCCUGCACUUUGGGAUAAGCCUGGGAAACUGGGUCUAAUACCGGAUAGGACCACGCGCUUCAUGGUGUGUGGUGGAAAGCUUUUGCGGUGUGGGAUGGGCCCGCGGCCUAUCAGCUUGUUGGUGGGGUAAUGGCCUACCAAGGCGACGACGGGUAGCCGGCCUGAGAGGGUGACCGGCCACACUGGGACUGAGAUACGGCCCAGACUCCUACGGGAGGCAGCAGUGGGGAAUAUUGCACAAUGGGCGCAAGCCUGAUGCAGCGACGCCGCGUGAGGGAUGACGGCCUUCGGGUUGUAAACCUCUUUCAAUAGGGACGAAGCGCAAGUGACGGUACCUAUAGAAGAAGGACCGGCCAACUACGUGCCAGCAGCCGCGGUAAUACGUAGGGUCCGAGCGUUGUCCGGAAUUACUGGGCGUAAAGAGCUCGUAGGUGGUUUGUCGCGUUGUUCGUGAAAACUCACAGCUUAACUGUGGGCGUGCGGGCGAUACGGGCAGACUAGAGUACUGCAGGGGAGACUGGAAUUCCUGGUGUAGCGGUGGAAUGCGCAGAUAUCAGGAGGAACACCGGUGGCGAAGGCGGGUCUCUGGGCAGUAACUGACGCUGAGGAGCGAAAGCGUGGGGAGCGAACAGGAUUAGAUACCCUGGUAGUCCACGCCGUAAACGGUGGGUACUAGGUGUGGGUUUCCUUCCUUGGGAUCCGUGCCGUAGCUAACGCAUUAAGUACCCCGCCUGGGGAGUACGGCCGCAAGGCUAAAACUCAAAGGAAUUGACGGGGGCCCGCACAAGCGGCGGAGCAUGUGGAUUAAUUCGAUGCAACGCGAAGAACCUUACCUGGGUUUGACAUGCACAGGACGCCAGUAGAGAUAUUGGUUCCCUUGUGGCCUGUGUGCAGGUGGUGCAUGGCUGUCGUCAGCUCGUGUCGUGAGAUGUUGGGUUAAGUCCCGCAACGAGCGCAACCCUUGUCUCAUGUUGCCAGCACGUUAUGGUGGGGACUCGUGAGAGACUGCCGGGGUCAACUCGGAGGAAGGUGGGGAUGACGUCAAGUCAUCAUGCCCCUUAUGUCCAGGGCUUCACACAUGCUACAAUGGCCGGUACAAAGGGCUGCGAUGCCGUGAGGUGGAGCGAAUCCUUUCAAAGCCGGUCUCAGUUCGGAUCGGGGUCUGCAACUCGACCCCGUGAAGUCGGAGUCGCUAGUAAUCGCAGAUCAGCAACGCUGCGGUGAAUACGUUCCCGGGCCUUGUACACACCGCCCGUCACGUCAUGAAAGUCGGUAACACCCGAAGCCGGUGGCCUAACCCUUGUGGAGGGAGCCGUCGAAGGUGGGAUCGGCGAUUGGGACGAAGUCGUAACAAGGUAGCCGUA
rnacentral:rRNA from 1 species